GGUAUUCGGUUGGUGCAAAAGUAAUUGCAGUUUUUGCAAUUGAAAUGGCAAAAACUGCAAUUACUUUUGCACCAACCUAA
rnacentral:miRNA from 1 species